GCGUUUAUAUGUGCUGUUCUAAAUACUGGGGUCUGUUCUUCCGAGCAGAAAAGAAUGAGAGAAUGGAUAUUGGGAAGCAAGAGCAGCCUCUGCUCCAGCUAGAGAGGGGCAGAAAGACCCUGGUGUAUCCUCAGACUGCUGUACCCUAUGCCUGCUCACAGGACAGACAAGAGCCUUUUAAGGGUGAAGACAGGACUAGACCCCAGCCUCCUGGUCACAUGACUCAGAGAUCUCCCAUAUCCUUUUACCUUCUGUUGCAUGGAGUGGAAUGGGUCGGAGUCUGAGAUGUGGAUCUUUGUGUUAGUCUGAGACUUUUUCUGUGUGGGAGAGAUUGUAUCCUACACACAGUCUAGAAGACAUUGGGGAGGCCCUGAAGCAAUUGCUAUUGCUAGAAAUAAAGUGUAGAGACAGAAGUGGGGAUGGGAUGGUGCUAGAGAGUUAGGCACAAGUCGAGUGAUGAGAGGUUGUGUCUGGUCUACACAGGAUCCUAAUAGAUCUUAACAGCCUGCAGCAAUGGUCUGAGCAUAAUGAGGCAAAACUGAACAGGAACAGAACAUGUUACACCCGAGUCCAAAAGAAAACUAACAAGAUGCACUGAUGUGACUUAGUAUCUUCAGGAUAAAAAUGACAGAAGCACUUCAGUAAUGUCAGCCAUAAUGUGUAAGGGAGUUAUUUUGAUCUCAGCCUGCAGGAGCAGAGAAUUUCAACGAGGUGAGAGGCAUGCUUUGCCAUGCACAGGCUAGACCACACUUGUCAUGCUGCAUGUAGUUCUGAAAAGGACAGACCAAAGUUUUAAAAGGAGAGAAGCCAGGAUGGGAUUGAAGAAUCCUCAGGUUGUAUAUUUAACAUUUUUAUCAGUCACUUAGGUCACGCCUGCUUAUCAAAUUUGUGGAUUACUCUAAUCUGACAGAGGUGGUAGAUACAGUGACAGGCAGAAUCAGUCAAAUAGAACAAUAAGCCAAUGCCAGGCUAUGAAAUUGAAAACAGAUCAAGGUAUCUCACCCCCAAAAAUGAUAAGUAUGUGAAGUAAUGCAUAUGUUAAUUAGCACUAUUUAGCCAUUUCAGAAAGCCUGCUUAUUUCAAACAACAUGCUGUACACAAUAAAUAUAUAUAAGAUCUGUGUCAACUAAAAAAUUAAAAUUAAAAUUAAAAGUCAAAGAAUAAAAAAGAAAAAAGUUUGGAAGAGCAAUCCAUUGUUCAAGAAAGGGAUGAGAGAGGCCUGGUACAAUGGCUGUUCUAACAAAUCAGCACUUUAGUGGGUAGCAGGGCUCAUCAAAGUACCAGUGUGUCUGUGUGUGUCCCAGGCUGGUGGAUGGUGGGCUUCCAAGGAGCCUCCAGGCAGCACUGAUAUUCAUGACUUCACCCAAGCCAGUGUUUUGACCUUGGCUUUGUGGGUUUAGAUUUUCAAAGUGUUUGAGUUUCCUGGACUUGGGGAGGCUGACUCUCGCUAACAAUGCUUUUAGGAGACUGCAGAUGCCAAAAGUAUUGAUUUUCAGCAUGAAUUCUACUUGUUAGGUACCUUAAACCUGAUCAGCAUACAUAUGGUUCUUCUUCCAUGUAAGAAAACCACAUGAGGAACAAAAUAACACCUCUAAGGAGUUUUGAGGAGGAUGGAACUGAAAAGAGGGAUGUGAGUAGUGUGACUCGAAUGCUGUUAGAAGAGUCUGAUGUGUCCUUCUUCCUCAGGUGAAAGUUCUCAGACUGAAAACAUCUAGAUAACCUCUAGCUAUGCUAAGCCACAGGCACUUUUAUAGGCCUAGAACCCAUUUCGUGUCUUUAAGGUGACUUGACAGAGUGUGGUUUUGUCCUCUUAUUUUUUUGACAUAUUCUGCAACUCAGGAAACAGUCUUGUUUCCCUUUCUCUGUAGCACUCGAGGUGCAUCAGUCUGCUCCUCCCUUUGCCUCAAGGUCCCACAGUGGCAAGGGGAGAGGAGACCAGUCUGGAGGGGUCUGCUUAUUAAGCCUUCAUUGCUGUCUACCCCAAGAAAACUCAGAGUCACUGUCUCCUAGGCACUUCUUAGGUAGAAAGAAAUCUUUCCUUACCCUCCAAAUCUGCUAUCCUUCAGGGAUGGAUUCUCGGGUACCUUCGACCAGCUCCCUGCUCUGUUCCAGCUUCCUGGGCAUAAAGGCAAAUAAUCCCAACGUGUUUGGCUUUGACUUUUUCUCAUGGCCUCCUUUCCCAGUGGGUGGCCAUAUAUAUUCAUUCGCAUGUCCAAGGGGAUUCCUCCUUCCAUCCCCCGUUUAUUGAUGUUCUUGUCACAUCUCCCUUAGGAGCUUGUUGUGUCAGUCAAGGUCCCAGCAAGAAACAGAUGGCACACUUACACUUGGAUAAUGUGAAAUGAAUCUAAUAAAGGACUACUUACAAAGCUGGGAGCAGGGCUUAGGGAAACCAUGAAGAAUAGUCAAAUGCCAGAGGACUAUGAAAUCUAGGUGCUAUUGUAGGCCUGAAAGAGUGGAGAGAGGGGAAAGAGAGCCAGAAGACUGUGGGGGCUAUGCGGAAGAAACAUAGGAUUCCCGGCUUUCAACAGAACUGGCCCAUGGAAACCCCACGGCAAUAGUAAUAAAUGCCACACCCUCACUCACUUCUCUCCUUCCAAUCUCCUGCUGAUUCACAACACUGGCCAUGUGCAGUUGGUAGCCAGUGGUCAAGGGAGCCCAAGAGUGUGGUUCAGGUUCAGCUUCCCCAGGGAAUAGCAGGGUGGACAAAGAUAGAGAGUGGAUUUGGAUAGGCAAAUAGAAUAAUCCAGUAAAAACACUGAAGGCUAGACUUUGUUGUUAAUACCUGUAUUUUUUGGUUUCCCAUCCCACACAUAGUAGGUUUGCAGCAGUUGACUUGGCCAUGGAUUUCUUUGGGUAAGGAGAUGAUCUUUGAUCCCUGUAUUCCAGGGCCUAUCCCAGUACCCCCAAAAGAUGCUCCAUAAAUGUUUAUGAAAUGACUAGUGAAUGAAUGAAUGAAUGAAUGAAUUAAUAAAUGAGGUAAGCUCAGUGGGAAUUUUCCCUUAAUUUUGCUCACUGUUUCACCCCUUGGAAGUAGCCACUUCUCUGCUUCACUUGUAGGCCAGUUGCAGUUAUUAAAUUUCUAAAUUAUCCUUCUGCCUAUGGGGCUGACUCUCCAAUGAGGUCUUGUAAAUCUUUGCUUCAAUCCUCGGAGUCCAGACAAGGAGCUCUUGCCUCAGGCACAGGCUCUGUUCUCUGGGAUGUCUCACCUUUUUAGCAGGGAAGCGUUCUGUGCCAGAUGCUUAACUUGUGUCCUCCUACCAGGGAGAUUCCACGAGGAACCUUCUCUGUUCACUUUAGGCAGAUUGGAUUGGCUUCUCCUUGCUGUACUUCUAGCUAGAUGAACUGUUAAACAAAUAUCUAUUACUUAUCUGUCAUAUUCUAGGCACUGUGCUAGGACAUGAGAAUGUUCAAGUGGGUAAGAUACAGUUUGACAUAAGGGACAAAGUGCUGCAGUCCAGAGGGAGAGAAGACAAAUAAUAAAUAAUUAUUUUACAGGGUAAUACAUGCUAUGUUAUUAUGUCAUUAUUCUAUAAUAAUUAUGGGAGCACAAUGGGUGAGGAGGGCACUGUGGGAGCCUGGGUGAGGAGCGCCAACCCACCCGGAUGCGCAAGGAAAGCUUUCUGGAGGAGUUAACACCUGAUCUUGUAGGAUAGGAAAGAGCAAGAUAUUAAAGAUAAGUAAUUCCAAGUCAAGUGGUGAGCAAGAUCAAAAUGACAAGACACUUGACAUAGCAUGAUGUGUGCAAGGAAACAUGAACUAAUCUGUAUUAUUAGUGAUAACAGUUGAGGAAUGGGGGGUGAGAGGCAGACGGAGGGGCAGGCAGGGGUUAGGGUGUGGAAGGCAUGGUAAGCUGAGCUAGGGACUUUGCAGGACAUUAACUAGAGUGAGGUGAAUAAGGCCUGUUUUAGGCACAAAAUGUAAAAGGGCUUCAAGGUCUCAGUCACUAGGAUAAGUAAUAUUAAAUGCAAUAUUUUAACUAAUCAAAAUUAAUGCAAAAACCCACAGUGAAAAAAAAAAUUUUAAGAUAAAUAGUAUUGAGUGAAUUCUUAUAAUUUCAUGUUGCUUCAGUAUCCAUUUUGAAUAUAACUUUAACUUUCUCAUACCAGAAGCAGGCUUAGUCACCCUUGGCGCAGUAUCCAGUUUUACAACUCCUCCUAGUUCCCUAAGGCGGUCAGUUCAGCUCUCUGGCUUAUAUAACUCCUGGUAGUUACCUCUCCAUGAGACAGCCAGAUACAACUGACCUAAUUAGCCCCACUGACCUCCACACCCCUCAUGGACUCUGCAGGUGUGCCACAGUGGCCACCUCUUAGUCACAGUGUGACCCCCAUGAAACUAGUGCCUGCUUGUACCACCAGUUAGACCUCCCCACAGGAAACCUGCUUGAGUAACUCCCAGGACCCAAUAAAGAAUUUGGCUUACAGGUCCCCUUAUCUCUCUCUUGCUCCCCACCUGCUGGCUGAAUGCACGUGUCCUCAGUGGCUUCCCCCUUUCCAGUGACCCUGGGAGGCAUACUUCCCCCUGCUCUCUGGAAUCUCUCAGCCACUUGGGUCUCCUUUGCCAAGGAGUGUCCUCCCUCUGGAACUCAAUACCAGCUCUUUCUUCUUCUGGAAUCUUCUCUCAGCUCUUUUAAGAUUGAAGAAAGAUGAUUACUUUCCUUGCCUGUGAAUAAGGUUCGUUUCUCUAGAAGAGCAGAAUGGAAGCACCUUCACCAUUCUAUACCAAUGGCAUUUCUGAGUGGACAAGCUGAAAUUCAGUAAUGUCUCCAAGCAUUGUGGCUCGCCUUUCAAAAUGAACUUCGAGGCUGCUAACCCUGCAUGACAUAGCCUACAGGACACUCCACUCCCUCCCUGUUCUCAUCAAACAAGAGAAGUUGCACAAGCUGGAGGGGCAGCUGGAUCACAGUUUAUGCUGCCCCCAGGAUGCAUCUUUCAUCCUAAUGGUGCUUAUUCAGCUGUGGGGAUGCAUUGGUAUCUAGCUGAUUUUUGAAAAAGUGCAAAAGUCCAUUUAAAAACACAACCAAAUCCUCCUUUUGAGAGUGGGGCCUUGUGUGGGGGUGGGGAGGAAAAGGAUGAGAAAUUUUUCCAUCUUAUUUUCUGAUAUUCUUUGCUUUGUAGGCGAAUACUUACAGAGAUGCCUGCAGGUGGUUUUCCAGAGUCCGUUUCUGAUCAAAGUCAAUAAAGCUCUUUCUCUAUGUGGGAAGGGAGCUCUCUUUUAGACUACUUUCUUACUUUGUGCUUUCUUAUGUAGAUAAGUCAUCUAAAAUCACACAGCCACAGGUCCUUAUCUGUCAGGGCCUGGUAGCAGCACUAGUGACAUUUUUUUCAUCCAAUAAACAUGAAUUAAGUUAUUUCUAUAGUGCCAGGCACUGAGACAGCUAUAAAUUGGGGAUAGAGGGAGUCAGAGGAAAAGCUGCCCUUUCUAUUUUUGUGUUCCUACUAUGUGCCAGGUACAGUAACUUUUGUGUAGUAGUGAGAAAAAGCAAUUUAAAAAUCAUUUCCAUUUUAUAGAAAUUUAGAAGUGGAAACUCUGAGAAGUGAAAUAAUUUGCCUAAGAUCAUUCAGGAAGGUAUUGAGUGUUUGAGCUGAGCUUUCCGAUAUUGGCCAGUAGAGAGAAGUGGAAUAAAGAAGAAAGGGCACCUUGGGAAGAAUUAUUGGUAUAAUAAAAGCAGGGGGUGGUGAUGGGGAGAUGGGAGGGCCAGAUCAGGUUCUGCAAAGAGUUUUGUGCAUUGUCGUUUGAACCGUAAUAAGAGAGAAGUUUGGAUUGGGAGGAAAGCUUGAUAACGUGAAGCAACGUUUGGAAUAUCAAGCUCUGCCAAUGAAAUUCAUUCUUAAACACCUGGAUUUAUUCCUGUCAA